AAGACCCUAGUAAAUUAAUUACACCACCUUGUCAAGGUAGAAUUGUGGGUGAAAGCCCCACGAGUCUUG
rnacentral:tRNA from 1 species